GACAACUUGAGUGGCCGGAGAUGACUUAGGCCUAAAUUUUAAACACAUUCCAUGUUGUACACAUCUGUCCUAAUUAAGCAAUAAAUGCACUCCUUUAAACUACCUAGGUUUAACUGGAUUAAUCUCGCCGUGCUUUUCUCCUGCUCCGGUGUCAUUUUGUGCUUGACUCUCACAUGAUAGUGGUAUGCUAACAGCAAUAGUCUCGAAAAUAUUGGCUGAAAAACUACUAUCCAUGACGGCCGAAAAAGUAUAUCAAAUUGUCGUUUUCAAGGUCCGUUUUUUUUCUGGGGAAGCACGGUUUUCGUGCGUGCUCGUUUCAACGGGAAUAAGUUGUGUCGCUGCCACUGAAGGAAGAAGUUACAAACAUGGCGAUACCACUAAGGGCAAUGGGAGAGUUAUUGAAGUAUUGAUUUACGAACAGGAAGCUCCUAGAAAAUGCUCCUAGAUAUGAUUAAAAGAUGGAGCCAAAACCCCACUUGGAGGAGACAUUAACCCCAAAAAGGGAAGUAUUAACUUUAGGAGGAGAAAUUUUUCUGUCAUUUAAAUCUAAUUUCAAUUUAACUGCUUUUGUGUCUUAGCCCAACUUUGAUGGUAAGCAGAAGCUACUAUA